UGACAAGGGGGCCCAGCCAAUGGGGGUGGCGAGCCGUAGCUGCCCUCCCGCGCGUUCCAAUCGCAGGCAGCAACUGUUGGGGUGGGCGGGGCUCGGGCGGGCGGGGAUCCGGAGCGAAGCGGCGCGGGGCGGAGUCCUCGGGCGCAGCGGCGGUGGCAGCAGCGGCGCCCCUCUGGGUGACUUGGCCGUGAGAAAGUGAAAGGAGCCCGCAGGCGGCGGCGACAGCUGCGCUGGGAGGGGCUUGUUUCCAGGCUCAGAGGCCCCGCGCACUCUGCGGGUGCGGAGCGAGCUUUUCGGUGUGCACUGUGACAACCACAAACACACUUUUGAACGUAGUGGGGCUUGGCUGCUGCGAGUUACGCAGCCACAACUUUAAACUACCGAGGGACGAUGUAAGACUGCUGUGUCGCUUUUCUUUCCUUCAAAUAAACUUUUACUCGGUACCUGUUCUUGGCAAUUAGACUGCGUUAAUCACAGCCACAAAGACGUGGAAAUGUCUGCCGUCAAGAAAUUGGAAAUCGUAUCGAGAACCCAGACUGGCAAGCCUGUUGCUAACCAACCUGCCAGGAGACCUUUCAACUGGGCAAAAUGUGC
rnacentral:lncRNA from 1 species